rnacentral:rRNA from 1 species
CCUAGUAACUGCGAGUGAAGCGGGAAAAGCUCAAAUUUAAAAUCUGGCGGCUUUGUCGUCCGAGUUGUAAUCUGGAGAAGCGUUUUCCGUGUCGGACCGUGCACAAGUCUCUUGGAACAGAGCGUCAUAGAGGGUGAGAAUCCCGUCUUUGGCACGGACAGCCGAUACUUUGUGAUACGUUUUCAAAGAGUCGAGUUGUUUGGGAAUGCAGCUCAAAAUGGGUGGUAAAUUCCAUCUAAAGCUAAAUAUAGGCGAGAGACCGAUAGCGAACAAGUACCGUGAGGGAAAGAUGAAAAGCACUUUGGAAAGAGAGUUAAAUAGUACGUGAAAUUGUUGAAAGGGAAACGCUUGAAGUCAGUCGCGUCUGCCGGGACUCAGCCUUACUUUUGUAUGGUGUAUUUCCUGGUUUGACGGGUCAACAUCGAUUUUGACCGAUGGAUAAAGGAGAAGGGAAUGUGGCACCUUCGGGUGUGUUAUAGCCCUCUUUGUAUACAUCGGUUGGGAUCGAGGACUGCAGCACGCCCUUGUGGCCGGGGGUUCGCCCUACGUAUCGUGCUUAGGAUGUUGACAUAAUGGCUUUAAGCGACCCGUCUUGAAACACGGACCAAGGAGUCUAACAUGCUCGCGAGUGUUAGGGUGGAAAACCCUUGCGCGUAAUGAAAGUGAAGGUUGGGACCUCUGCGAGGAGGGCACCGACGCCCGGCCCUGAAGUUCUCUGACGGUGCUGCGGUAGAGCGCGUAUGUUGGGACCCGAAAGAUGGUGAACUAUGCCUGAAUAGGGCGAAGCCAGAGGAAACUCUGGUGGAGGCUCGUAGCGAUUCUGACGU